UACGAAGGGGGCUAGCGUUGCUCGGAAUCACUGGGCGUAAAGGGUGCGUAGGCGGGGCUUUAAGUCAGGGGGGAAAUCCUGGAGCUCAACUCCAGAACUGCCUUUGAUACUGAGGAGCUUGAGUCCGGGAGAGGUGAGUGGAACUGCGAGUGUAGAGGUGAAAUUCGUAGAUAUUCGCAAGAACACCAGUGGCGAAGGCGGCUCACUGGCCCGGUACUGACGCUGAGGUGCGAAAGCGUGGGGAGCAAACAGG
rnacentral:rRNA from 1 species